rnacentral:lncRNA from 1 species
AAAAACUGUUUUUAAAGAUUUAACCCUUGUGUAACGCUGUGGCUAAAAUCAGCCACUAGGGGCAAAAUUUAGCCACUGAUUUCCACGUAACUUUUUUUUAAUGCAGCAAAUGGGAUGAUUUUUUGUGCAGAUGCUUAUAUUGAUGGACACUUUGAGAAUAUGACUUCAAUAUUUUAACCAGGUCAAAAAUACACGCUGGGCAAAUUUUCAUCCAUUGUUUACGCUCAGUGGCUAAAAAAGCCACUAACUUUGACUGCUUUAAAAACAUAUUGGGUUAAUAUUUUUUUCCAAUUUUAUUUCAUAUAUCUCUUAAUUAACUUCUGCUUUGAUCAAAACUAGUAAAUGUUUAAUCUAAAAAAAAUGUUUUAACCCUUUGAGGGUCCAUUCAAAACAUAAUGUCACUGAUAUGGUAGAAAAUGAAUCUAAUAAAAAUCAGUCAUUUUCCUUUUUUUCCCCCCCAAUAUUAGUGACUUUAUGUUUUAAAUGAGUCCUUAAAGGGUUAGAAUUUGAUGCUGUUUGGAGCAAUUCUGUUUGGAGAGUACAGUUGGGGUAAAAUUAUUUUCUUUCAAGAAUUAAGUUGUAAAAAAGUAUUCUUAUGAAAAUUGAGUUGUCGUUAAUUCUUAGAUGAAAUGAGAUGAAGUAAGGCCAUCAGAUAAUUAGGUUAGAGUUGUGAGGAAAUAAAGUUGGAAUGAGAUUAAAAUCAUAUUGUAAAAAAGUCAUAAUAUAAGAAGAAUAUAGACAUUACUUAGAAGAAUAAAGCUGUGAGGGAGUACUGUUUGGUUUAAGGUGAGCAGGAAGUGACCUCUACUUCUUAAACUGUACUUUAUGUUUUGGCACAUCCUCACCACACUGUUAGUAUCAGGACUCUGAGGUUGUGCGAAAAACUGAGACUUAGACAUAGUGUCCCUGUUCAAAACAGCCUAAUUCUCAGACUUUAUUCUCAUAACAAAAUAAUAUUAGUAUGACUUUGUUAUCAUAGAAAAAUAAUUUAAUGAAUGUAUUUUUUUAAAUCUUUAAAGCUCCUGUGAAGGUUUAUUUAUGUUUAUGAAUUAGACUGAAAUUCAUACUGAUGUCUUUUCAUGAUACCCCAAAGCAAACAAGAUCAUCAAGAAUAAGAAUGAAGGGUUUUUGUCGUUAUUGUAAAAGCCUGAAAAAGGUUUGAGGGGGUAGGUGACAGCUGAGCAGCUGAAGAAACAACCCUGCACAUUAAAUAUUCAUGAUGACUGAUGAGAUUUUACAUUUUUUGUCAAAUGUCAUUCUUCAAGUAUGUAGACAACAAGAUAAGCAAAGACUUCUUGCUCUAGGGGGCACCAAAACUGACUAAAACCAGUUCCUCACAGGUGCUUUAAAAAAGACUUUUUGUGAAAUGUGUCCCUACAUUUUAGCUGAGUGAAGACAUAAUCUAAAAUAUCAUCAAUUUUCCCAUAAUUGGCUAAGACACUAGAUGCUCACUCCUGAGUAAGAGUGUGACCAGUCAUGGACAUUGCUGACAACAAUAGAUUUUAAAAUAAGUUACAAAAAAUCUAUUUAUGAGAAUUAGUCUAGGGUGUCAUUGCUUGUGUUUCCAUGCUGUGUGACCAUCUGGAGUUACACUUCUUGCCGAGAGUGGCUCAUGUGAUAGAGCGUUAAAGGACAGGUCAACAAACAUAUCAAAAUUAGUCACUGAAGAAUGAGACAUCCUGUAAUGUUACUAUCUGUGUUUGGUCUUGCACAACUGCAUGUGCAAGAGUCAACUGUGAAGGUUGACAGGUUUACAAAACGUUGCAACAUUGCAGCAACCAACUAGAUUUCUAAAGGAAGUCCAGAGUUUAAUGUUACUUUACAAGCUGAUAGCCCUUGAGUAACUGCUGUUCUUUAUUUGAUUGGUUGAUCGGUAGUUUUAAUAACCAAUCAAUUGUGACCAAUAAAAAUAAAUGUAAGUUGCAGUCCUAGGCCUAAGAAUCAAGCCAAAAGUCACUCACUGGAGUUUUAAAUGGCCUUUAGAAAAGUAUCCCAUGUGAACUAUCACUACAAGUCUCAUUAUGCUCACACCAAAUCAAUAAUUCACAGCCUUCAACCUUUUCUCCACAUCUUACCCUCUGUGCUCUCCUUCUUCAGCUCUAAAAAUCCUCUCUGUAAAUAACCUUCACUUCCUGUUUUAAUGUCAUUCCUGUGCGCUCAUGUCGCCUGGCGAGUCAAACAGCCCUGCAGACCGAGGGAUGAGUCAGGCUUUGAAGGUAAUGAGCACACUGUGCGGACCCCCUCAGCUGGCAAAAGUUAAAUUGAACUGCAGUGCAGCACCAGCAGAGACAUAAUGUAGUGUUUUUAAAUGACUGACUCCAUACUGCUACAGGAGCUUCAAGUCCAUUCAGUGUGACAGAUAACAUGACAUGUUCGCUCUUUCAUCCGCAGAGAACAAUUUGACUGUCUAGUUCAUCCUGCAGCUUUCAGAGUCCCUUUUUUCCUCAGCUGUUUCUGUAAAAGAGUCCAACGGUCAGCCAUAGAGUCGACUGUUUCCAGCAGAAUUUUUGUAGUUGGCGAGCUGAUGUGUCCUGACAGCAUUCAGGAAGGAGUGACAGCAGAAAGACUCAUAGACUGUAUAUCCAAAUGCUCUGAUAGUCCUUGAAAGCUUUACCUUUAUUACUGUCAGUGUUGUCUGCUAAAGUUACUGUCCUGACAUCCCUGACAGACAAUAAACCACCGACAAGAUUGGCCCAAAUGAUGAAUGAAACAUCUGUGGGCAGAAGAGGAAAACAAGCUGAGACGAAAAACUCAUGAUGUGAUAGAAAGAUUUUCAGCUUGUGUCUGUUGAGAGGACAGAAUCUGAUAGGGAUAAGAUUUGAAGUCAAAGCAAAAAAAAAAAAAAUAGCCCACUAUAACAACUUCAUCCUUUUCACUAUUUAAAUGCAAUUUAAUGCAGCAACAAAAAAAACGUUUUUAACAAAAAUGAAUCAGUUUUUUAAUCAAUCUUUGUUCAUAGCAAGCUUUCCUUUUGAAAACCUCAAAAAUUGAACUUCUGGUCCAAAUAACUUCUGUCUGCUAAAUUAACACUAUUCUGCAUGUUUUGGAGCAACAUGCAUGGAGUUCCAGUAUUCUGUGUCAAAAUCAAACCGGAAAGGUACCAGUAUCAGAGGAACUUUUCUCUGCAAACACUUAAAGGUGGGGUAGGCAGGAUCUGAGGAAGUGCCAGUUUUUGGGACAAAUCUUGAUUGUAAACACUACCCCUCCCAACCAGUUUUCCCCAAAGCUC